GGAGGUCUAGAAGGAGUCAUAGUUCCACUGAUCAGGAGGUCUAGGAGGAGUCAUAGUUCCACUGAUCAGGAGGUCUAGAAGGAGUCAUAGUUCCACUAAUCAGGAGGUCUAGAAGGAGUCAUAGUUCCACUGAUCAGGAGGUCUAGAAGGAGUCAUAGUUCCACUAAUCAGGAGGUCUAGGAGGAGUCAUAGUAGCACUAAUCAGGAGGUCUAGAAGGAGUCAUAGUUCCACUAAUCAGGAGGUCUAGGAGGAGUCAUAGUAGCACUAAUCAGGAGGUCUAGAAGGAGUCAUAGUUCCACUAAUCAGGAGGUCUAGAAGGAGUCAUAGUAGCACUAAUCAGGAGGUCUAGAAGGAGUCAUAGUUCCACUAAUCAGGAGGUCUAGAAGGAGUCAUAGUAGCACUAAUCAGGAGGUAUAGAAGGAGUCAUAGUUCCACUAAUCAGGAGGUCUAGAAGGAGUCAUAGUAGCACUAAUCACGAGGUCUAG